CCAGAGUUUGAUCAUGGCUCAGAUUGAACGCUGGCGGCAGGCCUAACACAUGCAAGUCGAGCGGUAGCACAGAGAGCUUGCUCUCGGGUGACGAGCGGCGGACGGGUGAGUAAUGUCUGGGAAACUGCCUGAUGGAGGGGGAUAACUACUGGAAACGGUAGCUAAUACCGCAUAACGUCGCAAGACCAAAGAGGGGGACCUUCGGGCCUCUUGCCAUCAGAUGUGCCCAGAUGGGAUUAGCUAGUAGGUGGGGUAACGGCUCACCUAGGCGACGAUCCCUAGCUGGUCUGAGAGGAUGACCAGCCACACUGGAACUGAGACACGGUCCAGACUCCUACGGGAGGCAGCAGUGGGGAAUAUUGCACAAUGGGCGCAAGCCUGAUGCAGCCAUGCCGCGUGUAUGAAGAAGGCCUUCGGGUUGUAAAGUACUUUCAGCGGGGAGGAAGGUGUUGAGGUUAAUAACCUCAGCAAUUGACGUUACCCGCAGAAGAAGCACCGGCUAACUCCGUGCCAGCAGCCGCGGUAAUACGGAGGGUGCAAGCGUUAAUCGGAAUUACUGGGCGUAAAGCGCACGCAGGCGGUCUGUCAAGUCGGAUGUGAAAUCCCCGGGCUCAACCUGGGAACUGCAUUCGAAACUGGCAGGCUAGAGUCUUGUAGAGGGGGGUAGAAUUCCAGGUGUAGCGGUGAAAUGCGUAGAGAUCUGGAGGAAUACCGGUGGCGAAGGCGGCCCCCUGGACAAAGACUGACGCUCAGGUGCGAAAGCGUGGGGAGCAAACAGGAUUAGAUACCCUGGUAGUCCACGCCGUAAACGAUGUCGACUUGGAGGUUGUGCCCUUGAGGCGUGGCUUCCGGAGCUAACGCGUUAAGUCGACCGCCUGGGGAGUACGGCCGCAAGGUUAAAACUCAAAUGAAUUGACGGGGGCCCGCACAAGCGGUGGAGCAUGUGGUUUAAUUCGAUGCAACGCGAAGAACCUUACCUACUCUUGACAUCCAGAGAACUUUCCAGAGAUGGAUUGGUGCCUUCGGGAACUCUGAGACAGGUGCUGCAUGGCUGUCGUCAGCUCGUGUUGUGAAAUGUUGGGUUAAGUCCCGCAACGAGCGCAACCCUUAUCCUUUGUUGCCAGCGGUCCGGCCGGGAACUCAAAGGAGACUGCCAGUGAUAAACUGGAGGAAGGUGGGGAUGACGUCAAGUCAUCAUGGCCCUUACGAGUAGGGCUACACACGUGCUACAAUGGCGCAUACAAAGAGAAGCGACCUCGCGAGAGCAAGCGGACCUCAUAAAGUGCGUCGUAGUCCGGAUUGGAGUCUGCAACUCGACUCCAUGAAGUCGGAAUCGCUAGUAAUCGUAGAUCAGAAUGCUACGGUGAAUACGUUCCCGGGCCUUGUACACACCGCCCGUCACACCAUGGGAGUGGGUUGCAAAAGAAGUAGGUAGCUUAACCUUCGGGAGGGCGCUUACCACUUUGUGAUUCAUGACUGGGGUGAAGUCGUAACAAGGU
rnacentral:rRNA from 1 species